rnacentral:rRNA from 1 species
CCCUUAGAUGUCCUGGGCCGCACGCGCGCUACACUGAGUGUCUGAGAUACGAGUCUGCCUGGUCCGGCAAGGUCUAGGUAAUCGCUAAAAGACACAUCAUGCUUGGGAUAGAUUAUUGCAAAUAUUAAUCUUGAACGAGGAAUUCUUAGUAAGCGCAAGUCAACAGCUUGCGUUGAUUACGUCCCUGCCCUUUGUACACACCGCCCGUCGCUACUACUGAUUGGAUGUUUAAGCGAGGUUCUCGAACUGCUAGCGACUUAGCUUCGGUGAGGUCGCAGUGUGGGAAGUGAACCUAGCUUUGGUGUCUAGAGGAAGUAAAAGUCGUAACA